GAUAAGUGCAUUUUUGCAUUGUUUAUGUUUACAUCUGAUCGUCCGUCUUAUUUAAAAAAAUAUGAUUAAUAUUUUUAUUGUGACUAGAUGAUGAAAAAUAAAUAGUAGUUUAUGUUUGACUAACUUUUUCAUAUUUUUUUUAAAUAAGACAAGCGGUCAAUUGGACACGGAAAUCCAUAAAUACAGUUAUA
rnacentral:pre_miRNA from 1 species